rnacentral:rRNA from 1 species
UGGGGAAUAUUGGACAAUGGGCGAAAGCCUGAUCCAGCCAUGCCGCGUGUGUGAAGAAGGUCUUCGGAUUGUAAAGCACUUUAAGUUGGGAGGAAGGGCAGUAAGCGAAUACCUUGCUGUUUUGACGUUACCGACAGAAUAAGCACCGGCUAACUCUGUGCCAGCAGCCGCGGUAAUACAGAGGGUGCAAGCGUUAAUCGGAAUUACUGGGCGUAAAGCGCGCGUAGGUGGUUCGUUAAGUUGAAUGUGAAAGCCCCGGGCUCAACCUGGGAACUGCAUCCAAAACUGGCGAGCUAGAGUAGGGCAGAGGGUGGUGGAAUUUCCUGUGUAGCGGUGAAAUGCGUAGAUAUAGGAAGGAACACCAGUGGCGAAGGCGACCACCUGGGCUCAUACUGCCACUGAGGUGCGAAAGCGUGGGGAGCAAACAGG